rnacentral:rRNA from 1 species
AACGAAUGCUGGCGGCAGGCCUAACACAUGCAAGUCGAGCGCCCCGCAAGGGGAGCGGCGGACGGGUGAGUACCGCGUGGGAAUAUGCCCUUUGCUACGGAAUAGUCUCGGGAAACUGGGGGUAAUACCGUAUACGCCCUUUGGGGGAAAGAUUUAUCGGCGAAGGAUUAGCCCGCGUUGGAUUAGGUAGUUGGUGGGGUAAUGGCCUACCAAGCCGACGAUCCAUAGCUGGUUUGAGAGGAUGAUCAGCCACACUGGGACUGAGACACGGCCCAGACUCCUACGGGAGGCAGCAGUGGGGAAUCUUAGACAAUGGGGGCAACCCUGAUCUAGCCAUGCCGCGUGAGUGAUGAAGGCCUUAGGGUUGUAAAGCUCUUUCAGCUGGGAAGAUAAUGACGGUACCAGCAGAAGAAGCCCCGGCUAACUCCGUG